GUCCCUGUAGCGCGGGAGAUAGCGCGUUGGACUUCUAAUCCAAAAGGGCGUGGGUUCGAAUCCCACCAGGGAUG